CAAGCGGUAAGGAGAGGAACCACCCCCCACAACAAACCUCCACCGCCCCCCCCGCCCCCACCCCCCUGUCUGGGGUUUUUAGAUCCGUUUCGAUCAGAUCGGGGACCACUUCGCCAUGGAAUUCUAGGGUUCCUUGGAGGGGGGGAGGAAGAGGGCGCGAUGUCGGGGGGAGAGUAUGGGAUCGAGGACCACGUGGCCCUCCUCAGAUCCGCCCCCUCGGCGUCCGACGCCGAUCCGGAGGCUCAGGGGCAGCCGGUGGUGACGACGCCGACAUCGGCUAGGAGGAGCGGGAUUGGCGACCUUCUGAGGAACCUUGAUCGUGGCCUCUCUGGCCGGAGCCGGAGCCGCCGGUACACAGACCAUGGGGGCUCGCCUCUGGCAUUCGAUGACGGGGCGCACGACCCCCUCGGCGACGGCGCGCCGCCGGAGUGGGCUCUGCUUCUCAUUGGGUGCUUCCUUGGUCUUGCCACCGGAAUUUGCGUCGCCACCUUUAACCAUUGGGUGCAUGUAAUUCACGAAUGGGCAUGGGCAGGUACCCCAAAUGAGGGUGCUGCUUGGCUUCGCUUACAGAGACUGGCUGAUACUUGGCACAGAAUAUUGUUGAUUCCAGUUACAGGAGGAGUUGUUGUUGGCAUGAUGCAUGGAUUACUUGAAAUAUUUGAGCAGAUAAAGCAGUCAAGAUCUUCACAGAGGCAAGGUAUUGAUUUAGUGGCUGCAAUCUUUCCAACAAUAAAGGCGAUACAGGCUGCAGUGACUCUGGGCACAGGCUGUUCAUUAGGCCCUGAGGGGCCCAGUGUUGAUAUUGGCAAAUCAUGUGCAAGUGGAUGUUCAGAAAUGAUGAAGAAUAAUAGGGAAAGGAGGAUUGCUCUUGUUGCAGCUGGUGCAGCUGCUGGGAUUGCUUCAGGUUUCAAUGCGGCAGUUGCUGGAUGUUUCUUUGCCAUUGAAACAGUACUGAGGCCCCUUCGAGCAGAAAACUCACCUCCAUUUACAACUGCUAUGAUAAUAUUGGCUUCCGUUAUAUCAUCCACAGUAUCAAAUGUUUUACUUGGAGAAAAGCCAGCUUUUAUUGUGCCGACGUAUGAACUAAAAUCUGCUGCUGAACUACCUCUAUACCUUAUCCUAGGGAUGCUGUGUGGAGCAGUGAGUGUGGCUUUCACUCGAUUGGUAGUUUGGUUCACAAAGUCUUUUGAGUAUAUAAAGGAAAGGUUUGGUCUUCCUGCUGUUGUAUGCCCUGCUUUAGGUGGCUUAGGUGCAGGCAUGAUAGCUCUUAGGUAUCCUGGAAUAUUGUACUGGGGUUACACCAAUGUUGAAGAAAUCCUACACACAGGGAAGAGUGCUUCAGCACCUGGAAUUUGGCUGUUAACUCAACUAGCUGGGGCAAAAGUAGUAGCAACUGCUCUUUGCAAAGGUUCAGGCCUUAUAGGUGGUCUAUAUGCCCCAAGCUUGAUGAUCGGCGCUGCUGUUGGUGCUGUUUUUGGUGGUUCAGCUGCAGAAGUGAUAAAUUCAGCUAUUCCAGGAAAUGCCGCUGUUGCCCAACCACAGGCCUAUGCACUGGUUGGAAUGGCUGCUACACUAGCUUCAGUUUGUUCAGUUCCACUGACCUCGGUAUUGCUCCUCUUCGAGCUAACAAAGGAUUACAGAAUUUUGCUUCCACUCAUGGGAGCUGUUGGUUUAGCAAUAUGGGUGCCUUCUGUGGCAAACCAGUCCAAAGAUGGUGAUAUAUUGGAAUCCAGGUUACACGGGGGUGGUUAUUCUUCACUUUCAUCUGCUGAAAACAAAAAUGAAGCUGUCUGGAGAAGACCUGAUGGAGGAGACAAUCUUGAACUUUCUACAAUAGAAACUGGCAUUCACCAACAUGGAACUAUUAAUGAGGAAAUGCUUCUGGAUGAGCUGAAGGUUUCUCAGGCCAUGUCAAAGAAUUAUGUUAAAGUUGUUCCGACAGUCAUGUUGAAAGAAGCUAUAAAACUUAUGCACGAUAGUCAUCAAAGUUGUGUUCUCAUUGUUGACGAUGAAGAAUUUCUGGAGGGAAUUCUUACACUGGGUGACAUUCGGCGGAGAGGAUUAGAGGCACGUGGACAGACUCCUCGUACUCCCAAGGGUGAUUCAACUGGUUUGGAUGUGAAUAGUUGUCUCAUUUCAUCAUGCCUUACUCGAGGGUUCAACUAUCGGGGGAGUGAACGUGGACUAUUAACCUGUUUCCCAGACACAGACUUGACAACUGCAAAGGAGCUUAUGGAGGCCAAAGGAAUCAAGCAGUUGCCAGUGGUCAGGCGUGGUUGGGGCUCUAGAAACAAAUGGAAGCGUAGACUGGUUGCUCUUCUUUGCUAUGAUUCAAUUGGGCACUGCCUUAGGGAGGAAGUGGAACGCCAGAAGACCAUCUAUCAGCAAAGGAAAGAAGAUCUUCUGGAAAUCACCACAAAUGGGCACUGACUAUGUACAGCAAAUCAUCUAGUUACCUUUUGGAGUUCCUCAAACAGAACACAUAGGCUAUCUAGUCCGAUAGCUACUUCUACUAUGGAGCACACGAGUUGGAGGAUCCCUUCAGUAAGCAUGUUGCAAUGCAUAGGUUCUGUUUUGCUGAUUUUGAUCUUGAUUCUAUGUGCCAUCCCCACUGUAUGAGCCAGGUUCUAUGCAAGGAAUCUUCCAAGUCAGUGGAUCCAUUGGGGAACACAAUACUGAUCUGGCACAUUCAUCUGCAGCUUGUAGUCAUAUAAUGGAUUUAAAGUUGCAACAUGUCACACAAUCUUCUCAGUUACCAUGGGUAAUUUAAGGAGGGAGUAGGGUGAAAGGUACCCUCUAUAUGGUGAUAAGCUAGUGCUUUGGUAUUCAAUGAUGUUGUAACUCGGCUAAAACGAGUGAUGGUGCUUGUGUACGAUACUAGAGAGACAGACCGUCCAAUAUCUGCAAUGUUGUAUCAUACACCCAACAACAGAGUGGGUCCAAAAGGUUUUUCCACCGAAGAAUACACUUUUGGAAGGGUUUAAUGAAGCACCAGUGGGUUGAAAACUCCGGGCAACGUUGCAAAACUGGUACUCAAAACUGUUUCGGUCUGCCACAGUGAGCCAUGGUACGGUCGAUACCGUUUGCAUCUCAUAUCGAGACAGGUUUUUGACCCUUCUGUUUGUAUAUACUUCCAGCCAUGAUAAUUUCAGCAAUUGAUUUGGCCGAUUUAACUUGUAUGUCUAUAUAAUAAUAAUAAAAUGAUAUAU